rnacentral:rRNA from 1 species
AGUGAACGCUGGCGGCAGGCCUAACACAUGCAAGUCGAACGGCAGCACAGGAGAGCUUGCUCUCUGGGUGGCGAGUGGCGGACGGGUGAGGAAUACAUCGGAAUCUACCUUUUCGUGGGGGAUAACGUAGGGAAACUUACGCUAAUACCGCAUACGACCUUAGGGUGAAAGCGGAGGACCUUCGGGCUUCGCGCGGAUAGAUGAGCCGAUGUCGGAUUAGCUAGUUGGCGGGGUAAAGGCCCACCAAGGCGACGAUCCGUAGCUGGUCUGAGAGGAGGAUCAGCCGCACUGGAACUGAGACACGGUCCAGACUCCUACGGGAGGCAGCAGUGGGGAAUAUUGGACAAUGGGCGCAAGCCUGAUCCAGCCAUGCCGCGUGGGUGAAGAAGGCCUUCGGGUUGUAAAGCCCUUUUGUUGGGAAAGAAAAGCAGUCGGUUAAUACCCGAUUGUUCUGACGGUACCCAAAGAAUAAGCACCGGCUAACUUCGUGCCAGCAGCCGCGGUAAGAC